UACGGAGGGUGCAAGCGUUAUCCGGAUUCACUGGGUUUAAAGGGUGCGUAGGCGGGUAAGUAAGUCCGUGGUGAAAUCUCUGAGCUUAACUCAGAAACUGCCGUGGAUACUAUUUGCCUUGAAUAUUGUGGAGGUGAGCGGAAUAUGUCAUGUAGCGGUGAAAUGCUUAGAUAUGACAUAGAACACCAAAUUGCGAAGGCAGCUCACUACACAAUAUUGACGUGAGGCACGAAAGCGUGGGGGAUCAAACAGG
rnacentral:rRNA from 1 species